rnacentral:rRNA from 1 species
GACGAACGCGGCGGCGUGCUUAACACAUGCAAGUCGAACGGAGCGAAUGAAAGCUUGCUUUUAUGAGCUUAGUGGCAAACGGGUGAGUAACACGUAGACAACCUGCCGAUCAGAUGGGGACAACAUUCCGAAAGGAAUGCUAAUACCGAAUGGCGUGUGGGGGAGGCAUCUUCCCUACAUGAAAGAUGGCCUCUAUUUAUAAGCUAUCACUGAUCGAUGGGUCUGCGUCUGAUUAGCUAGUAGGUAAGGUAACGGCUUACCUAGGCGACGAUCAGUAGCCGGUCUGAGAGGAUGAACGGCCACAUUGGGACUGAGACACGGCCCAGACUCCUACGGGAGGCAGCAGUGGGGAAUCUUCCGCAAUGGGCGCAAGCCUGACGGAGCAACGCCGCGUGAGUGAAGAAGGUCUUCGGAUCGUAAAGCUCUGUUGAAGGGGACGAACGUACAUAAGUUGAAUAAGCUUAUGUAAUGACGGUACC